rnacentral:rRNA from 1 species
AGCGAACGCUGGCGGCAGGCCUAACACAUGCAAGUCGGACGAAGCCUUCGGGCUUAGUGGCGGACGGGUGAGUAACACGUGGGAACGUACCUUUUGGUUCGGAACAACUCAGGGAAACUUGAGCUAAUACCGGAUGAGCCCUUAGGGGGAAAGAUUUAUCGCCGAAAGAGCGGCCCGCGUUAGAUUAGCUGGUUGGUGAGGUAAAGGCUCACCAAGGCUACGAUCUAUAGCUGGUCUGAGAGGAUGAUCAGCCACACUGGGACUGAGACACGGCCCAGACUCCUACGGGAGGCAGCAGUGGGGAGUCUUGCGCAAUGGGCGAAAGCCUGACGCAGCCAUGCCGCGUGAAUGAUGAAGGUCUUAGGAUUGUAAAAUUCUUUUACCAGGGACGAUAAUGACGGUACCUGGAGAAAAAGCCCCGGCUAACUUCGUGCCAGCAGCCGCCGUAAUAC